CCUGCUUCGGCAACAGACUGGCAACAAGAGAGGCUACAUCAGGAGGACAGGUUGGCUGCUGAAAUCCAUUUUCUUGAAGUUGAUUCUGGCCACAGGAGGGUUAAUUUUUACUUGAAGCAACUGCUCCGUGAUUCCAGCCUGAUUAUAUCACAUCACAUCCCCAAAUUCUGCCUAGAAGAGAACCCACAGUUAAUCCAUCAAACGUGAAUGAAUCCAGAGUUUUCAAUCACAAUUUACCAGAACUUGCAGCAUUCAAUAAAGAUUAGAUGGUUAAAUGCUGUCUCCUUUGUUGAAUGGCAAGAAAGGCUAACUGCUUGGGUGGCUUUCCAUAGAGCCACAAGGUUAUGGAUGAGCGAGUCCAGGACAGAAUGAUCACACAGAAUCAUGUUCUUUCCCUCCUGUUUCUUAGUGAACAUCAGCAUCAUCUGAACUGUAAUUACAGAUUCCUUUGAGGCACAGAAAUGGAGUUAGUUUUCCCAUUCCAUAGAGAUGAAAAACCAUUAGCAGCCAUACCUGGAGUGGAAAAUAAGAAAUAUUAAAUCCUGAAGACAAGUGAAGACAAUUUAAAGUGACAGAUCCUGUGAAUGAAGAAUAAACGUAUCAUAAAUUCCUUCAAAAACAUAUUGUACCCCAGAGAUAUGGAUACACACACACCUGAGAGAAGUUGUCACAAUGCAAAUGGUUCAUUUCAUAAAUAAAAAAAUUUAAGUGCCCAGCUAUACAACCUGUCACAACAUAAUCAUUCAAACCAGUGAAAGGGAUCGCUCUCCCAUACAUCAAAAACAUUUCUAAGACAAGCAACUAUCUACUACAAUCUCUCAUUAUCACUGUAGCAUACAAAUCAACAAAAUUACUCCAAAAUAUCUUAAAUGAAGCCAAGACACAGUAACCAAAUAAUUAAAACCAGAAGUCAUCUGGUUAAGAUAAGGAAUAAAAUAGGCACUAGGUAUAUAGGACAGACAGGUAAAGACUGGUCAAAUGCAUUGACAAAAGUCAAUUAGGAGCCAGAAGACAUGACAAAAAUUCACUAAUCUCUCAACACAUAGACAAAUUCAACCACAAUUUCAACUGGGAAACUCUUGAUAUUGUAGACCAGUGGCUCUCAACCUGUGGGUUGGGACCCCAUUUGGGGUCGAACGACCAU